UACGGAGGGUGCAAGCGUUAUCCGGAUUCACUGGGUUUAAAGGGUGCGUAGGUGGGUCUGUAAGUCCGUGGUGAAAUCUCCGAGCUUAACUUGGAAACUGCCAUGGAUACUAUAGGUCUUGAAUACUGUGGAGGUCAGCGGAAUAUGUCAUGUAGCGGUGAAAUGCUUAGAUAUGACAUAGAACACCAAUUGCGAAGGCAGCUCACUACACGGUCAUUGACACUGAGGCACGAAAGCGUGGGGAUCAAACAGG
rnacentral:rRNA from 1 species